CAGGUUCUAAGGAGAGCAGCUACAUCUUAUUUUAUCUCUGUUUUCCAAAGUCUCACUCAAAACCAGACAUUCUGUGCAGGUGGAUGGAUGACAGUUGGUGUUUUUACUAUGUAGCAAACUCAAAAGGUUUCUCUGCUGAAGGUUUUGUGGCUCUCUUAGGAGGAGUGGAAGCUUUGUGGGGUAGGACCUAAUGGACAGAAGCUGAUCUCGAGGAGCCUCAGAAGGGUGUGUGUUGUCUCUCUGUGCAUCCUGCCUGCCACGAGGAACUAUUAUAUCAACCACUCCUUUGGAUCGUGUCUACAUCAUCUGUGGGACAUGUGACACGAUGGUGCACCCACAUCUGCUCCUGGAAGGUCAGGUAAACUUGCUGGUUGAGUUCCCAGAACGGAACACAUCCCUGCAGCCUGCCACUGGGUCUAGGUAUGCCAGAUGGACGGCUGGUGAGAGAAGUGAGCCUGUUGUAUACAGCUUCUCUCUGUCUGAGGUCCUUGCUGGGAAACCAAAGGCUUGAAGCAAGGGCGCCAGGAGAAACCUGGAGAGGACUGGAUAAGGAAAGAGAGGCUGCACAGAGGGGAAGCCCUGGAAUUUGAAUAGGAAACCACAGGCUCUGGUAUUGCACGUUGACCUUGACCCUACGUGGUGUUGCUAUUUAAGAGGCUAAGGAAACUAUAGGGGUUAGAAUCAGUAGGACAUUCAUCACUGAAGGUAGGACCUGGGGUAUCUUGUCCAGGGCAUUCUCUCUCUCUCUCUCUCUCUCUCUCUCUCUCUCUCUCUCUCUCUCUCUCUCUCUCUCUCUCCCCUCCCCCUUCCCAUCAUUAGAUGAGCCUCCUCUGCCACACACUCCUGCCAUAAUGAUGUUCAGCCUUACCAUGGUCCAGAAUUAAUAGAGAUAAGAACUGUGAUCUGAAACCACCAAAACCAGGAGUCAAAAUAAAUCCUCCUUACGUCCUUCACGUUGGGUCUUUUGUCUCUAAAAAAAAAAAAAUGUUGUAUAACCAGAGAAUUGGUGGCUGCACACACGGUGAACAUACUACAUGCCCCUGAGCUGUGUGCACUUUAAAAUGGCUCAUUAAGCAACACAUGUUGUCACCACAGGCACAACAAAAAGGUCAGAAACAAAAAGUUAAAGGUUGGGUCGAAAGGAGAUGCGCCUUCCACAGCUGUCAAAACCACGCACAGGUGCAUGUAAGGAGCGCGCUCUUGAGGUCCUCCGGUCAGGCGACAAAGCCGCGAUGAGCAGCAUCAGAGGCUGUGACAGCUGUGACCCUUGGGGCCUCACUUGUGCAUUCCUGUGGAAAAGCAAAGCUCAGACUUGAGGCCGGCACAGCAUGGAAAGAGGGACUGACUCACGACCCCUGGUAGAGAACCCCCUUCCCCUACCCAGAGGCCCUCUGGAAGAUUGCACUGGCCUCCCCAUACCCUGGUAGGCCAUUUUCAAAUGCUGCCAUGCUGGCUUAAUUCCACUCCAUAAACAUAGGUGUCUGUGGUGCUGGGGAGUGACCCGACCCAUGGCCUUCUUCACUCGAGACAAUUCCUCUCACACUGCGCUACACCCCAGCAAACAUCCACUUUUAUGGAACCAUCUAAAGACGACAGCUUUUGACCACACACCUCAGCAUCUUCAGCCCUUCCCGAUGCCUUCCUUAGAACAAUGCUCUCCAGCUCACGCCUGACCACAGUACCCAUGAUUCCAUUGGCUUCCGGUCUAGGCUCCUCCUAUCCCCCCUCCCUCCGACUCUCGUUUUGUAGGUUUGGGUGGUUCGAUGGUUUCUUGGUCGUUUACUUUGGAUCCUCUAGUGUCCUUCAUCGUUCGUAAAUGUGCGGGUUCUCCCUGCAACUGCCCCGGCUGGGAGUUUGUUCUUCUGUCUGCAUGGUGCACCUCCUAAGGCUGUGCCUUGUAGAUCAGUCCAGACCUUGGGUUUGCUCGGCCAUUUCAUCUGUCACUCAGCUCCCACUCUGUCCUGAUGAGUCACGUGACCCGAAAGGCCGCACUGACACAUCAUUACCGCAGGAGUCCGGGUCUUUUCCUUUGAAUACAGAAUUACUUAUGUAAAUGUGUUUGUUUUUAAUUGGUUCAUAAUAAUUAUACAGAUUUAUAAGAUCAGGAGUAAUGUUUCAAUAUGUGCAUAUAUUAGGGUGGUUUUUUAAAAUUAAUUCUUUUUUUUAAAUGUUUUAUUUGAAUCUCAUUUUAGAAAACUUUGACUCCAAUUUUGGUCUAAAUGUAAAAUGACUCCUCUGCACAGGCCCACGUGUGUGAGCUUGUGCUCCCAGUUGGUAGCGCUAUUUGGGGAUGUCGGGUAGCUUUUAAGAGGUAGGACUUGGCAUGGCUAGCUAGCCUGGGUCCCUUGGAGUGGGCUGGGUCCAGCCAGGGACUGGUUCCCAUCUAGUUCUCUUUGCUUCCUGACCCAGCCACCAUGCGAGCAGCCCUUUUAUACAUUCUUCCUCCUUCCUCUCUGCCUUCCACCGGAGGUGACUAGAACCCUCGGAAUUGUGAACCAGCGAUGAUUUACAAGUCAUUUAAAGUCAUACUUCCUGUAAGUUGCCUAGACUUUGUGUCAGUAUCGAAAGCUGUUCCCUACAUAUUUACCGCUGGUUAACCAUCUUUAGAAACACGAGUAAAGCUGACAUCUUCUUUGCCA